rnacentral:rRNA from 1 species
AUUGAACGCUGGCGGCAGGCCUAACACAUGCAAGUCGAGCGGAUGAAGGGAGCUUGCUCCUGGAUUCAGCGGCCGACGGGUGAGUAAUUCCUAGGAAUCUGCCUGGUAGUGGGGGCUAACGUCCGGACACGGGCGCUAAUACCGCAUACGUCCUGAGGGCGAACGUGGGGGAUCUUCGGACCUCACGCUAUCAGAUGAUCCUAGGUCGGAUUAGCUAGUUGGUGGGGUAAAGGCCUACCAAGGCGACGAUCCGUAACUGGUCUGAGAGGAUGAUCAGUCACACUGGAACUGAGACACGGUCCAGACUCCUACGGGAGGCAGCAGUGGGGAAUAUUGGGCAAUGGGCGAAAGCCUGAUCCAGCCAUGCCGCGUGUGUGAAGAAGGUCUUCGGAUUGUAAAGCACUUUAAGUUGGGAGGAAGGGCAGUAAGUUAAUACCUUGCUGUUUUGACGUUACCAACAGAAUAAGCACCGGCUAACUUCGUG